GCCAAACACCAGCCAGAAGUAAGCUUAUAUCUGUAUUCUGGUUUCUGGUGGGAACCUGUCUGGGACCCAAGAGAGGAAAAAGUGGGCAUAGGGUCAGAAAUGGACCUGAGACAUCCUGCUCCACACUGGUUCCCAUUGGGAAAAAAAAUGGGCCAUACAUCAUCUGCUGACUUAGUCUUAACCCAUCUCAAGGAUUUUCAGAAAAAGAGGCUGAAUCGGGACAACACAAACUGGUUAAACUGAUACUGCUUUUGGAGCCCCGCACCCGCAGCUAGGAGCUGAGCGCUGCAGGCAUAGUCCCACCUUCUUUCCCUGGAUCAAGCUGACAGCGAAACUGGGGGUGGUGUGUGUGGGUGGUUGACAUCUGUACAAGCUGCUCUGAAAGCGGCACCAGCAGCUGCUCAGCUUUCUACGGUCAGGAACCCGGUGGCUACUCCUGCUACAGAACCACAGUGCCCAUGAGAAUUGGAUUCAGCAGGUAGCAAAGUGCUCUUCUUCUGAAAUUACAGCUGGGGGAAUAAGUGUACUAGCCAACACAUGAGAUUGUAUCAACACAUUGAACAAAUGCUUUGGGCCUCCUGACUCUGGAAAUGAUUGAGCAGAUUAUCGGGGGAAUAUUUCAAGUUGAUAUUCAUUACCCUUUGCUCCUUAGUCAUUUUAAAUGCAAUUGUGACUGGGAGUUAUGUGCAGAACGUACCUGAGCAGAUAACGCCUGCAUCUUCCUUGUGCCUGCAGUUAUGACGUCCCCAGCCAUGUGAAUGGCACUGCCAAAUAUGAGACUCUUUCCCAGUGCAGAUGACUUCGUCUAGCCAGAUAGCCCCUGUUCCUUCCCCGAAGUAAGCAGAACCAGUGGCGUUAAUAGCCACACCACAGUCCAGCUGCUUGCACACCACACUGGCAUCAGUCAGAUCCCAGUUGUCAUCACAGAUGGUGCCCCAAGAGCCCUCGUGGUAGACCUCCACUCUCCCAGCACAGCGACCACCUCCACCUACCAAGCGAAGUUGGCCACUUGCUGGGAAGAGAAAUGAAGAUAAGGAUAAAGUGCAUGCCAGAAAGGUUUGAGAUCAUUUUCAGAGAUUGAUCACAGAUUCUCACCUAUGCAGGGAAUGUCACUCUCCUUUGGAAUGGUAGAGCUUGUUGUUUGAACCGGAGACAAUGAACUACACGGCAACAGUGUCUGGGAUUGGUUUCCUGAAAACACCCAAAGUUUCAAGAGUAUUAGAUACUAAGGAUGAGGAAUUAGGACUGGAUGGAGAGUUCUGUAGGUGAGGUGAGGACAGACAUAGCUUGAGAAAGAAGAAGGAGGAGGAUGGAGGGGUGAGAAAGGGGUGUGGGAUAGGUGGACCACCUGGAAGUGAGCAGGUGCUUUGAGAAAACACAGACUACAGCAGUUCUCAACCUGUGGGCUGCGACCUCCAGGGAGGAGAAUAGCAUUUUCACAGGAGGUAGAAUAUCAGACAUCCUGCACAUCAUAUAUUUACGAGACAAUUCAUAACUGUAGCGAAAUUACAGUUCUGAAUUAGUAAUAAGAAUAAUUUAAUGGUUGAAGGGUGGUCACCACAGCAUGAGGAACUGUACUAAAGGGUCAUAGUAUUAGGAAGAUUGAGAACCACUGCAGUAAGAACUAGACAGCAAUAAGAUGGGUGAAAAUUAAGUUUACAUACUCUCUAAUAAGACAAAUGAAGUUACUAUUCUAGCACAGGUCUCAUGAAUCUCCCAGACAGACUGUUUCGUUUUCUUUUGCUUCAUCCCUGACUCAGGCCCAUCUCAUUGUAAAGCACACCCCUGUGGAGAGGCUCAUUACUGGCUCUGCCCUUCAUCCUCUCACCUGAGCAUAUUACAGAGGCCACCUGUCCUUUGGAACAUGUCGGUGCACCCAGAGCCGUCAUGGGGCAAUCCCCUAUAUGCUGCUCAGUUCCAGUGCAGUGGAACAUGUGCCUCCAGACCUGACCAGCUCCUUUCCCAAAAUGUGCUCCUCCUGGAAUAGAAUGGGCAACUCCACACUUGAGCUGCUGACAUAAGACAUGAGCAUCUUCCAUGUCCCAAUGAUUGCCGCAGAGGGGACCCCAGGCUCCGAGCGUGUUGAGCUCCACUCUUCCCUCACAGGAGGACUUGCCAUCUGCCAGACGGAUAUCUAUGUAUCCUGAAAGGAGACCGGGAUUUAGAAAAGACGCCCGCGUCCCCCUAAUCCUUUCUCCCUUUCACCGCCUAGGAGCAAGUUGAAGAUAUUUUCUUUGUCUUACGUGAGCAGACUAUGCUGACAUCCCUGCUGUGGCUACAAGUUCUGUCUAGUGGGGGCGCCACUGAGCACAGCGAAAGGUGGGACUCAUCCCCACUACACUGGAAUUCUUCACCCCAGAUCUGUCCACUUCCUUCUCCAAAAUGUGCUCCCCCUAGGAUAGAGACGACUGUUCCACAUUGUAAUUCCCUGCACACCACGCUGGCAGCUUCCAGAGACAAGUCAAAAUCACAGAUGGAGCCCCACACGUCUCCGUGUUUCACUUCCACACGACCGGAGCAUGGGACUUCUCCUCCAACCAGUCUGGGUUCCCUGUGGCCUGAAAAAAAUAAUAUUUCUGUGAGAGGUACAAUUUCCACAUUUUCACUCAUGGUGGGACUAGGAGCCAGGGUUCUCUGCAGUUUCACCCUGCACCUCCUGGGUUUUCUCUCUAGACUGAGCAUAGCAAAUUGUGACUCAAAGAUUUUUUUCAUUGGGCCUGUCCUUCUAAGAAAAUUCUAGAGCUUUGGAUUUUGAAGAAAAGCAAGACCAGAACGUCUCUUUUCUUCUAGUACUUCAUUUGCAUUUAUUCAUACAACACAGUGUGUUCACUGUUUGUGCUCUGUCAGCCAGUCCAGCACUUGCUGCAGUCUGAAGUCUACAGCCGCUUUAUCAACAUCUGCAUAUAGGGUUUCAACAUAUUUUUGUUUGGAGCAUGGAGAGGUUGUGGAGAAAGAGGAACAUUAUUUCAUUGCUGGUGGGAUUGCAAACU